rnacentral:misc_RNA from 1 species
GAUGAAGAACGUAGCGAAAUGCGAUAAGUAAUGUGAAUUGCAGAAUUCAGUGAAUCAUCGAAUCUUUGAACGCACAUUGCGCCCGCUGGUAUUCCGGCGCGCAUGCCUGUUCGAGCGUCAUUUCAACCCUCAAGCUCUCCGGAGUUUGGUGUUGGGGCGCCUGGGGCUUUUCGACCUCAGGGCCCUCAAGUCCAUCGGCGGGACCGCCAGGACACUGAGCGCAGUAGUAUUAUUUCGCUCGGUAGGAUCUUCCACGGCGGGUCGAUCUGGCCGCUAAACCCCCCAAUUCUCACCAAAGGUUGACCUCGGAUCAGGUAGGAAUACCCGCUGAACUUAAGCAUAUCAAUAAGCGGAGGA